rnacentral:rRNA from 1 species
GCGCACCAGGCGCGAAACCUUCGCAAUGCGCGAAAGCACGACGAGGGGACUCCGAGUGCCUAUGCUCAGCAUAGGCUGUUCACCGGUGUAAAAGCCGGUGGAGGAAGGGGUGGACAAGACUGGUGCCAGCCGCCGCGGUAAUACCAGCGCCCCAAGUGGUGAUCGAUAUUAUUGGGUCUAAAACGUCCGUAGCCGGCCCGGUAAAUCUCCGGGUAAAUCGUCCAGCUUAACUGGUCGAAUUCUGGGGAGACUGCCGGGCUUGGGGACCGGGAGAGGUCGGAGGUACUCCAGGGGUAGGGGUGAAAUCCUGUAAUCCCUGGGGGACCACCGGUGGCGAAGGCGUCCGACUAGAACGGGUCCGACGGUAAGGGACGAAGGCUAGGGGAGCAAACGGGAUUAGAUACCCGUGUAGU